ACGGAGGGGGCGAGCGUUGUUCGGAAUCAUUGGGCGUAAAGGGCGCGUAGGCGGCUGGCCAAGUCGGGUGUGAAAUCCCUCGGCUCAACCGAGGAAUUGCACCCGAUACUGGUCGGCUAGAGUCCGGGAGGGGAUAGCGGAAUUCCCAGUGUAGCGGUGAAAUGCGUAGAUAUUGGGAGGAACACCAGUGGCGAAGGCGGCUACCUGGACCGGUUCUGACGCUGAGGCGCGAAAGCGUGGGUAGCAAACAGGA
rnacentral:rRNA from 1 species